rnacentral:rRNA from 1 species
AUUGAACGCUGGCGGCAUGCCUUACACAUGCAAGUCGAACGGCAGCACGGGUGCUUGCACCUGGUGGCGAGUGGCGAACGGGUGAGUAAUACAUCGGAACAUGUCCUGUAGUGGGGGAUAGCCCGGCGAAAGCCGGAUUAAUACCGCAUACGAUCCACGGAUGAAAGCGGGGGACCUUCGGGCCUCGCGCUAUAGGGUUGGCCGAUGGCUGAUUAGCUAGUUGGUGGGGUAAAGGCCUACCAAGGCGACGAUCAGUAGCUGGUCUGAGAGGACGACCAGCCACACUGGGACUGAGACACGGCCCAUACUCCUACGAGAGGCAGCAGUGGGGAAUUUUGGACAAUGGGCGAAAGCCUGAUCCAGCAAUGCCGCGUGUGUGAAGAAGGCCUUCGGGUUGUAAAGCACUUUUGUCCGGAAAGAAAUCCUUGACUCUAAUACAGUCGGGGGAUGACGGUACCGGAAGAAUAAGCACCGGCUAACUACGUG